UGCAGUCGAGCGGAAACGACUUAACUGAACCUUCGGGGAACGUUAAGGGCGUCGAGCGGCGGACGGGUGAGUAAUGCCUGGGAAUAUGCCUUGAUGUGGGGGAUAACUAUUGGAAACGAUAGCUAAUACCGCAUAAUGCCUUCGGGCCAAAGAGGGGGACCUUCGGGCCUCUCGCGUCAAGAUUAGCCCAGGUGGGAUUAGCUAGUUGGUGAGGUAAAGGCUCACCAAGGCGACGAUCCCUAGCUGGUCUGAGAGGAUGAUCAGCCACACCGGAGCUGAGACACGGUCCAGACUCCUACGGGAGGCAGCAGUGGGGAAUAUUGCACAAUGGGCGCAAGCCUGAUGCAGCCAUGCCGCGUGUGUGAAGAAGGCCUUCGGGUUGUAAAGCACUUUCAGUCGUGAGGAAGGUAGUGUAGUUAAUAGCUGCAUUAUUUGACGUUAGCGACAGAAGAAGCACCGGCUAACUCCGUGCCAGCAGCCGCGGUAAUACGGAGGGUGCGAGCGUUAAUCGGAAUUACUGGGCGUAAAGCGCAUGCAGGUGGGUGAUUAAGUCAGAUGUGAAAGCCCGGGGCUCAACCCGA
rnacentral:rRNA from 1 species